rnacentral:misc_RNA from 1 species
UACUACCCCCUCCUCUGAUUUUCUGCUACUGCUGCUAAUGCUGCAUUUUCUUGUCUUUACAAAACUAACCCACACAUCACCUUUCUUUCUUUCUUUGUUCUUUUUUUUUUUCCCCUCAAUUUCUUCUUCCUUUUUUGUUUUGUUUUGCUAUCGGAAAAUGCAACAGAGUCUUGUAGGGUUCUUGAUUGUCUCCCUUGGUAUCCUGGCCACUUUCG